rnacentral:rRNA from 1 species
GAUGAACGCUAGCGACAGGCUUAACACAUGCAAGUCGAGGGGCAGCGGGAGUAGCAAUACUUGCCGGCGACCGGCGCACGGGUGAGUAACAGGUAUGCAACCUGCCUUCAAAUUUGGGAUAACCCGGGGAAAUCCGGACUAAUACCGAAUAGUACUUUUAGGUCGCAUGGUUUAAAAGUUAAAGAUUUAUUGUUUGAAGAUGGGCAUGCUUUCCAUUAGGUAGUUGGUAAGGUAACGGCUUACCAAGCCAUCGAUGGAUAGGGGCACUGAGAGGUUUGUCCCCCACACCGGUACUGAGACACGGACCGGACUCCUACGGGAGGCAGCAGUGAGGAAUAUUGGUCAAUGGGCGGGAGCCUGAACCAGCCAAGUCGCGUGAAGGAUGAAUGUAUUAUGUAUUGUAAACUUCUUUUGUAUGGGAAUAAAAAGGUGGACGUGUCCAUUAUUGCAAGUACCAUACGAAUAAGCAUCGGCUAACUCCGUGCCAGCAGCCGCAGUAAAAC